UUAAAAGAUUCUAAGUAGCAUACGAGACAAAUAAUAUGGAACAAGGCUAUAGGAAUCUCAUAAUAUCAGAGAUGUGUGAAGAGGAUACAAACUGAUACACAUGCUUUGAGGUUUUAAGUCAUCACCCCCCAAAGUUCUGGUUGUGAAAGAAUGUUGUCAAAGUAUCCUGAGAGAAAUGCAUUACCACUACAAAAAUAGUUACUGAUUUACCAAGUCUACUCUGGUGAAUAAUAACUGUUAAAGAGGAUUAGAGAAAGUAGAAUUUCUGUGUAAGUGACAGAAAUCUCAUUUCUCCUGCUGUAAAUUGUCAUUCUUGGGAACAGGGAAGGUCACUUUUCUCUGGGACCCCCAGAGUCCCACAAGUGAUGGACAACUCAGCUCCAAGGAACCAGAACCCUAGCUCACAUCCUACCACACAGGACCACCGUCCCUGGAGGCUUAGACACACAGGCGGGCAGCUGACACGGUAGACUCGUGUCCAGAUGUGGCCGGGCCCCUGGGUGGACUCUCCUUAUCUUCCCAGCCCGGUGGUCCAGACUCUGCACUUCAUUUCCCCAAGAGAGAACAACUAAAGCAGAAGGAGAAGCUAAAAAGUUAACUCGGAACAGCGGGCUGGGCAGUGAAUCUGGCGGAGGGGAGCUGGAUUCACUGGCCCUCUUUGGCUCCGCCUGGUGAAGAUGCAUGUCGCCUCCUUAUUGGCUUGGGGGGUACUUUGCUUUGGGUUCGCUUUGAGUACUUUUAUUGCUACCUAAAAAGUGUCUAGACUGA